AGGGAAACCGAGUCUUAACCGGGCGUUAAGUUGCAGGGUAUAGACCCGAAACCCGGUGAUCUAGCCAUGGGCAGGUUGAAGGUUGGGUAACACUAACUGGAGGACCGAACCGACUAAUGUUGAAAAAUUAGCGGAUGACCUGUGGCUGGGGGUGAAAGGCCAAUCAAACCGGGAGAUAGCUGGUUCUCCCCGAAAGCUAUUUAGGUAGCGCCUCGUGAAUUCAUCUCCGGGGGUAGAGCACUGUUUCGGCUAGGGGGCCAUCCCGGCUUACCAACCCGAUGCAAACUGCGAAUACCGGAGAAUGUUAUCACGGGAGACACACGGCGGGUGCUAACGUCCGUCGUGAAGAGGGAAACAACCCAGACCGCCAGCUAAGGUCCCAAAGUCAUGGUUAAGUGGGAAACGAUGUGGGAAGGCCCAGACAGCCAGGAUGUUGGCUUAGAAGCAGCCAUCAUUUAAAGAAAGCGUAAUAGCUCACUGGUCGAGUCGGCCUGCGCGGAAGAUGUAACGGGGCUAAACCAUGCACCGAAGCUGCGGCAGCGACACUGUGUGUUGUUGGGUAGGGGAGCGUUCUGUAAGCCUGUGAAGGUGUGUCGUGAGGCAUGCUGGAGGUAUCAGAAGUGCGAAUGCUGACAUAAGUAACGAUAAAGCGGGUGAAAAGCCCGCUCGCCGGAAGACCAAGGGUUCCUGUCCAACGUUAAUCGGGGCAGGGUGAGUCGACCCCUAAGGCGAGGCCGAAAGGCGUAGUCGAUGGGAAACGGGUUAAUAUUCCCGUACUUGGUGUUACUGCGAAGGGGGGACGGAGAAGGCUAUGUUGGCCGGGCGACGGUUGUCCCGGUUUAAGCGUGUAGGUGUGUGUUCCAGGUAAAUCCGGUUCACUUUAACACUGAGGCGUGACGACGAGGCACUACGGUGCUGAAGCAACAAAUGCCCUGCUUCCAGGAAAAGCCUCUAAGCAUCAGGUAACAUCAAAUCGUACCCCAAACCGACACAGGUGGUCAGGUAGAGAAUACCAAGGCGCUUGAGAGAACUCGGGUGAAGGAACUAGGCAAAAUGGUGCCGUAACUUCGGGAGAAGGCACGCUGACACGUAGGUGAAGUGAUUUACUCAUGGAGCUGAAGUCAGUCGAAGAUACCAGCUGGCUGCAACUGUUUAUUAAAAACACAGCACUGUGCAAACACGAAAGUGGACGUAUACGGUGUGACGCCUGCCCGGUGCCGGAAGGUUAAUUGAUGGGGUCAGCGCAAGCGAAGCUCCUGAUCGAAGCCCCGGUAAACGGCGGCCGUAACUAUAACGGUCCUAAGGUAGCGAAAUUCCUUGUCGGGUAAGUUCCGACCUGCACGAAUGGCGUAAUGAUGGCCAGGCUGUCUCCACCCGAGACUCAGUGAAAUUGAACUCGCUGUGAAGAUGCAGUGUACCCGCGGCAAGACGGAAAGACCCCGUGAACCUUUACUAUAGCUUGACACUGAACAUUGAGCCUUGAUGUGUAGGAUAGGUGGGAGGCUUUGAAGUGUGGACGCCAGUCUGCAUGGAGCCGACCUUGAAAUACCACCCUUUAAUGUUUGAUGUUCUAACGUGGACCCGUUACCCGGGUUGCGGACAGUGUCUGGUGGGUAGUUUGACUGGGGCGGUCUCCUCCUAAAGAGUAACGGAGGAGCACGAAGGUUGGCUAAUCCUGGUCGGAC
rnacentral:rRNA from 1 species